AUCUUUGCGCUUUGGGCAAUGAUGCAGCCAGUGAGGUACUAACCGAGGCAUGUCUAAUCCUGGUUGAAAACUAUUUCCAAACCCCCUCUUUGGCUUGGGUUUUGAGCUCAGGCAAUCGAGAAUGGGGGUAAAGCGGACCUUGGUCC